GAGUUUGAUCAUGGCUCAGGAUGAACGCUGGCGGCGUGCUUAACACAUGCAAGUCGAACGGAACUUUAGCGAGGAAAUUUUUCGAAGUGGAAUUGCUUAAGUUUAGUGGCGGACGGGUGCGUAACACGUGGGUAACCUGCCCUGCUUUUCGGAAUAACGCCGGGAAACCGCCGCUAAUGCCGAAUAACAUGAGAAGAAGGCAUCCUUUUCUCAUCAAAGAACCUCGAAGCAGGAUGGGCCCGCGCCGGAUUAGCUGGUUGGUGAGGUAACGGCUCACCAAGGCGACGAUCCGUAGCCGACCUGAGAGGGUGAUCGGCCACACUGGAACUGAGACACGGUCCAGACUCCUACGGGAGGCAGCAGUGGGGAAUAUUGCACAAUGGGCGAAAGCCUGAUGCAGCAACGCCGCGUGAGCGAUGAAGGCUUUCGAGUCGUAAAGCUCUGUCGCAGGGGAAGACCAAAGACGUACCCUNGAGCC
rnacentral:rRNA from 1 species